GAGGGAGUAACUCAGUUGGUAGAGUACCAGAACUCAUGAUUUUGGGUGUCGCAGGUUCAAGUCCUGCCUCCUUCC
rnacentral:tRNA from 1 species